UUUUAUACUUUAAGUUAAUUAUUAUUAUUAUUAUUAUGAUAUUUUUCUGUAUGAUGCGAAGUCUUACUAUAAAGACACGAAUUCAACUCGGAGGAAUCAGUGAGGCUAAAAUCGUAGAUCGUAAUCUAUGCACAGUACCACUGAAUUUUCCAAUAUAAAGUUCAAGAUAUCAAAAACAUAAAGAUGUCGAAAGUAAUAUUUGUCGUUGUUGCACUGCUCAUUGUUAUUGUAAUGAUGGGACAAAUUGCUGAAGCUUGCAAAUCAGAUUUUCGUGACUGUCUCAGUAAUGAAGACUGCUGUUCAGGGGACUGUGCUAAACAUUUAGAUUUUCUGGGUGUUUGGUUUUGUGCUCCUCGUUUCGGAUAGAAAAAUAAUAAAAACUCACAUUAUAAAAAUUUUUUGAGGGGACCCAUUUUGCCCCAAUUUCAAAAAUUUUUUAUUUUUAAUGGACAGAACAAAUUAAGGUCAAGGGAGUAAAAACAAGUUAAAAAAACUGAGGAUUUGGAAAUUUUUUUCAUAUGAGGCCCAUUUUGCCCCCCCCCCCCUUCCCCUACUACUGUUGAUAGUGAAUGUUCUACGAUUUUUAUUUCCCUGUUUUUGGAACGGAUGAAUUUCUGCAUUUAUACUGAAUUUUCAAGGUCAUGUAGAAGAAUAACACAAUCAUAAAUUGUGAACUGUAUUUAUAAAAUCUUAAAGUUCACAUGAUACGGAUUUUUUAAUGAUAAUUGUGUUUACUGUAAUAUAUUUUUUACGCAUAAAAGUUUUCCUUGAUUUAUUGAACCAAAGUAUACACAUUUAAAUACUUUGAUGUGUUGCAACUUGUAAGAUGAUUACUCAAUCACUAUCAGUUUAUUAUAUUUUUUUUUUUUGUUAGGUUAUUUUUUAAUAUAAUUUAAUCAUAAAUAUUAACUUAUUAAUGAUAAUGAUAAUUUACAAAUUAAAUAAUGAAAGAUAGUGACAUGAAAAGCUGGAAAAAUUAGAAUUGUCACGUAGCGAUUCAAACGUGAAUCGCUGCGCGCGCUUUCCCAUUUCGCCGUGAAUCUAACAACACCUCCUAGCUAUUAAAGCGCAUUUAUUUAUUAUAAUAUUUUAUUAUAUAAUUAUUUAUAUUAUUUUGAUUAAUUAUUUAAUUAUGAUUUAUUUAUGAAUUAUUGAUAUUAUUGUUUAUUAUGUUUAUGUUUUGAAAAUUAUUUUGAAUUUUAUGUACUUAAUCGAUAUUUUCAUUUCAGUUAGAAGCACAUGUGCGCGUAUAUAUUGUACAAAAAUAUCGACCAAAGGGAGAGUAAGUCGAUAUGGUGGGGAUAAAAAUCAAUAUAUCCCUCCCGCCACGUGGUGCACUGAAAUAAUUAUUAUUUUAUUGUUUAAAGGGUUAAUUAUGAUUAUGUUUAUGAAUGUUGAUGAAUAAUAUUAUUUAGUUUAUUAUUAUCAUAUAACUCAGGUCGGAUAAUAUGUUUAAAUAUUUUAUUUUAAUUGAUAAUUUAAAUGGAUUUAUUAUAAUGGUAUGCAACCCAGUGUUGCCAAAUAUAUUUUGAGUUCCCGCGUCUUUCUCUCCCCAGAGUAAAUAAUAUAAAAUAAAGAUUAGUAUUUUUAUAUAUAUAAAUUUUAUAUUGAGUUCAUAGAGUAAAAAUUUGUAAUUUGAAUUCCCCAGUGGAUAAUUUAAUUAAUUUGAUUUUUAUUAUUAUUAUUUGACUGUAUUAAGUAUAUUAUUAUUUGUUGAAAUUUACUAUAAAGAAUAAAUGUAUGGUAAAUAACAUUUGGUAUUGUAAUAGUUUGUUGGAUUUAUAUUUAUAAAUAUAUUGAAAUUAAAUAAUAUGAAAGAAGGAUUCCAGUGAUAACCAACAUUUCUUUGUUUAUUUCCUGGAUAUAUUUUAGUGAUAAUUAUUCUUUAUUAUUUUUAUUUAUUAUAUUUAUUUGGUUGUAUUUCCGCUUGGUGCAUACAUUCUCGCUCGAAAUUUGGUCCCGUGAUCUCUCCCCUGAUUUGGUAUUAUUUUUGUCCGUUUUGUAAAAACAGGCUGGCGCCCUCGUGCACUAACCCAGCCUGAGGAGCUGGUUCAGGCACACUUUUAUUUUAUUUAUUGUUUAAUAUUAUUAUUUACGAAUAUUUAACUAUUAUUAUUUUGAGUCAUAUAUUUAUUAUUUAUAAUUUAUAAUUCUGUAUACACGUGGGUGACCGCAUACGGUUUACCGAAUUUAUUCGCGUCUCCGUCGGGAAUUGAAAAACGGUAUACGUUAUAUAAUAUUUCGCAAAAAUAAGCUUUCGAUAAAAACAAAUUAAAUAUCGUCUAUUCCAACAUCCUAAAAACUAAUAAAUUAAUAACACUUAAAUAUUAAAAAUAAUAUUAAUACACGGAAAAAAAUGAACUAUACAAAUUGAGAACGACAAGUAAUAUAAUGAUAAAGUGAUCAGUAAAUACUAUCAUUCUAAAUAGUAAUUUUUUCAUUUAUGAUGAAAAUGUGAAUAAUUACAGGAUAAUAAAAAUGAAAAUUUAUUGCCUAUGUAAGAAAAAUUACUAUUUGAACUUUAAAAAUCGUAAUGAAUACUUAGAAAAUUGACGACACGUCUUAUAAAAUUUCUUAUUUAGUAUGUUAAAAUUCCCCAUAUCGACACCCAGGUUCCAGGCUAUAAUUUCAAACACUAAUUUUUAGUUUAUUUUUUUCCGUGUAUUUAUUUCACUAAACUAUAACUGUUAUCAUUGUCAUGAUUGGUAUUCUAACCAAUUAGAAUUUUUGGAAUAUCGGAAUCGACAAUAUUUAAUUUUUUCAUUUUGUCGAAAACUUGUGUUUGUGAAAUAAUACAAAUUUUCCAUCUUUUUAUGUCAUCGUCAUUUCGUUGUUUAAGUUAUAAACUAUCACUAUCAUUAAUUGAUUAAUAUUUAAAAAUAAAAUUUAAAAAAAAUACAAUAAAUUGAUAGUAAUUAAGAAAUCAUCUUACAAUUUGCAACACGUCUAAGUAUUUAGUUGUGUAUACUUUGUUUCGUCAAAGUCAGGGAAAUGUUAUACGUAAAAAAUUUUUUACAGUAAACACAAUUAUCAUUGAACAUUCCGUAUCAUUUGAACUUUAAAAUUAGGGGAAGGGGGGGGGGCAAAAGGGGGUAGGGUAGGCUAAACGGAGUACCCCCAAAAUUUGAUAAAAAAAAAUUUUAUAUUUUAAAUGGUUUUUAAACAUUCCAAAAUCACUUCUGUAAAUAUAUCUAAGCGUUACUUUGAAUUUUUUUUGGUAAACUUUUUCAAAAAUCUAUUGUCAGUUGGAAAAUAUUAAUGACGUUUGUUUUUUGAUAAAAACUGUUAAAAAAUUUUUUUCUUCUUUUGUAUCCAAUAAACAUGUAAAAUAUAAUUUUUCUUCAUGUAAAUUACUUACAAAAAAAUUCAACUUAAUAAAAUUCGUCAAAAAAUUUAGAGCGAUCAUAAAAACACCCUCAGCGCUUUCGCUCUUGAGGUGUGCAAUAUAAUAAAUUAGUAGCUAUUGAGCAAUCAUCUUACAUUUUGCAAGACGUCUAAGUAUUUAAAUGCGUAUACUUUGUUUUUUCAAUAUAAGGAAAACUGUUAUGCAUAAUAAAUAUUAUAUAAUAAUCGCAAUCAUCAUCAAAUGAAUCCGUAUAAUUUGAACUUUGAGAUUUUAUAAGUAAAGUUCAGAAUUUAUUAUUGUGAUAUUUAUCUUCAUGACCAUGAAAAUUCAGUAUAAAUGCAGGAAUUCACCCCUUCUGAAAGCAGUGAGGCAAAAAUCGUUGAACAUACACUACCAACAGUAGUACUGCAAUAUCCGAUACAAAAAUCCAAGGAACCCAUAAAUACAAAAUGUCGAAAGUAAUAUUCGCAUUCAUUGCAUUACUCGUAAUUAUUGUCAUGAUGGAGAAGACUGCCGAGGCUUGCGCCCCAAUAUUGGGCACGUGUGACAAUCAUGACGAUUGUUGUUCAGAGUGGUGUGCACAUUCAGAUUUUUUCGGCGUUCGAUACUGCAGUUUCAAGACAAAGUAAAAUUUAAUUCAAAUUAAAUGCCGGGAUUAAUUACACUAAUAUUAUUUAUUUAAUUAGUAGUUGUAUUAGAACAAAUUGUAUACUUGUUAACUUGUAAUAAAUCAAUUACUAUAAAACUUA